CGUCCGGUACGGCCGGGACGAGGUGACCGCCCCCCUGGAGGGGGUGUCGGUCGAGUACCACGCGAUCCGCAAGUUCGAGGUCGACGUCGGGCGUCC
rnacentral:tRNA from 1 species